CAGACAACAGUAGCCAAAUGAAUAAAAAUUUCCUGUACAGUAUGUAGAUAUGUGUAAUUGACUCCCUGUCCCUCUCAAGCCAGCAUGAGUCUGUCCCUUUCCCUCUUCUUCUGUCUUAAUUAAACAUCACAUCUGUUGUGGGGGUGGUUCAUACUCACUAGAUGGGCAAUAGUACCUGUCUGCCUGUAACUGAUAGUACUUUUGCUUGUCUUUGCCUUUCUUCAAGUGUUCGGAGGACAACUACCUUUUACCCAAUUCAUCUCUUUUGAAUCAGAUGUCGGAUUAACUCAGUUACAGCUGAAGAGGUCAGAGCUCUGAUCACCUUUUUCUUUGUGUCCCUAUGGCAAUCCUGACUGCUGAGAACUACUGCAGCGCUGGUGCUACUGGACAAGAGCACGGAUAGUUUCUCCUGACGUGGUUAAGAGUAUCUCACUAUUUCACUGCUUUGAACAGUCAUCCUAAAGACUAAGUAAAGACUCUGGUUAGCCAUCUUGUUGUGGAAGCAUGCCUACUUUUAAAUAAAAGUAGCUUUAUUCUUUCUCUGUAGCUUUUACUCCCCCACUUUGAGUUCCCAGGAUAUCCCUCCAUCCACUGGCUGUGAGGCCAGCUGAAGAUCCUUGUAUCAGAUCUUGCCAAUACACUAGUGCUCUAGCUGUCAGUUGGCUCUGGCUCAGCGUAUUAGACUAUACCUGUUCCUAAAGGAAUAGUAUCAGCCCAGGCAGGUCCUUACAGACGUUGUCACUGCUCUCCUCUUUCGCCUUUCACUGCUCUCCCCUUUGGCCUUUCUGUCACCUUGUUAGUGAACAGCUGAUACCCCAGUCUCAUGAGGUUCAUAGCUGAAGUGAAAGUACCUGCAACCAGCUGGAACUGUCUGUCAGGGCCCUGAUGGCACUGACAGGGUUUACCAGCCCUGCCCAGCAUCCGCCAGGGCCUCCCCCAUCCUGCCAUAUCAGCCCCGCUGGGCUGUCAGCCCCUGCCCCAGUGACGCCGCAGCAGGGCCAGUUUCCAGCUCCCUUCAGCCCUGCUGGGCUCCAGGCUGAUGUCCGAGCCUGGCCUCGGCCCAUCCUGGUCCCCACCAGGUUCCUGAUCCCCAGGUCUGGGGCUGCCCCCAGCUGCCCACCCCCCAUUCCGGCUGCCCUGCUCCUGGCUGGGGCGAUGGGACCCCGGCCCAGCCCUGCUGCCCCCACAGGUAGCCCCCAUAGCUCCCAGCUGCCAGGAAGCCAUCAGCCCACACUGGGCCCUGACACUGUAGCAAGAGGAGCGCAGCUGUUCCUCUUUGCUGUACUGAGGCCGUAAGAAAAGCUGGAGGACCUGAAUUCUAUCUAUUGCUGCUAUCUCUCGCAGAGAUAUGUUACAAAGCUUGUGAGGCUGAAACCUGAGCUAUGCCCUGUCAUGGAGGAUAUUAUAAUGAGUUUAAAAGAGACGCACGAGAGGAUCCAUAAUUUCACACCUUUUAAUUUUUUUUUCU